UAAUCGCGGAUCAGCAUGCCGCGGUGAAAUACGUUCCCGGGCCUUGUACACACCGCCCGUCACACCAUGGGAGCCGGUAAUACCCGAAGUCAGUAGUCCAACCUCGUGAGGACGCUGCCGAAGGUAGGAUUGGCGACUGGGGUGAAGUCGUAACAAGGUAGC
rnacentral:rRNA from 1 species